rnacentral:rRNA from 1 species
GACGAACGCUGGCGGCGUGCCUAACACAUGCAAGUCGAGCGGGGACAUUGGUUUCGGCUGAUGUUCUAGCGGCGGACGGGUGAGUAACGCGUGAGCAACCUUUCUCUUACUGGGGAAUAACACAGGGAAACUUGUACUAAUACCGCAUGAGACCACAGCAUCGCAUGGUGCAGGGGUCAAAGAUUUAUCGGUAAGAGGUGGGCUCGCGUCUGAUUAGAUAGUUGGUGGGGUAACGGCCUACCAAGUCGACGAUCAGUAGCCGACCUGAGAGGGUGAUCGGCCACAUUGGGACUGAGACACGGCCCAAACUCCUACGGGAGGCAGCAGUGGGGAAUAUUGGGCAAUGGGGGGAACCCUGACCCAGCAACGCCGCGUGGAGGAAGAAGGUUUUCGGAUCGUAAACUCCUGUCCUCAGGGAAGAGCAGAAGACGGUACCUGAGGAGGAAGCCCCGGCUAACUACGUG